CACAACAUUUAAAUGCUAUUCCACAAAAAAAAACAUCAAAAACGGACAAGAAUAACCUGUUUAUGAAGCUUCAAAUUCGCCAAUGGAGAGUGAGGAAGGAGAGCUUCACGUGGAGAAAGAGGAAAACUUGAAGACAUGUGGGCCAGGUCUUCUCUGAUUGGUUAAGGUUGUCUCUGGUGGGCCAUCUUGGUUGUUGGUUUAUUUAAGUGAAGAAAUAAAUGAGUUAAUGAGGUGGAAGAAAUAUAUUAAGGAAAUGAGAGGCUAAUUUGGUAUUUGCAAUGACAAUGGGGGUAUUGAGAAUAGAGAGGGGAUAUGAAGGUUAGUUUUUU
rnacentral:lncRNA from 1 species